rnacentral:rRNA from 1 species
GGCGGCGUGCUUAACACAUGCAAGUCGAACGACUCGGUUACAGGGAUUCCCUUCGGGGAGGAACGGUAAUUGUCUGAGUGGCGGACGGGUGAGUAACGCGUGGGCAACCUGCCCCAUAUCGGGGGAUAACAGCCGGAAACGGCUGCUAAUACCGCAUACGCCCAGGAGGCUGCAUAGCUUCCUGGGGAAAACUCCGGUGGUAUGGGAUGGGCCCGCGUCUGAUUAGCUCGUUGGCGGGGUAACGGCCCACCAAGGCGACGAUCAGUAGCCGGCCUGAGAGGGCGGCCGGCCACAUUGGGACUGAGACACGGCCCAGACUCCUGCGGGAGGCAGCAGUGGGGAAUAUUGCACAAUGGGGGAAACCCUGAUGCAGCGACGCCGCGUGAGCGAUGAAGUAUCUCGGUAUGUAAAGCUCUAUCAGCAGGGAAGAAAGUGACAGUACCUGACUAAGAAGCCCCGGCUAACUACGUGCCAGCAGCCGCGGUAAUACGUAGGGGGCAAGCGUUAUCCGGAUUCACUGGGCGUAAAGGGAGCGCAGGCGGCACGGCAAGUCUGGUGUGAAAACCCGGGGCUCAACCCCGGGACUGCAUUGGAAACUGCCGGGCUGGAGUGUCGGAGGGGUAAGCGGAAUUCCUAGUGUAGCGGUGAAAUGCGUAGAUAUUAGGAGGAACACCAGUGGCGAAGGCGGCUUACUGGACGAUGACUGACGCUGAGGCUCGAAAGCGUGGGGAGCAAACAGGAUUAGAUACCCUGGUAGUCCACGCCGUA